UUCAAAGUCUAGAAUCUACAGCCAGGGUCAGAAUUCUGGAAAAAUUCUAAAGAGCUAAGAAUAUUCCAACAAAGGAAUCAGAAACAUUCCACUGAGGUGAUUUCUAAAGUCUAAGUAAAGGGAACUAUAAUGAAACCAGAGAUCAAAUUUUGAAAGGCAAAUGGCAAAGAAAGAAGAAAGAUCAUUGCCAUUAGACAGAAAGAAAAGUUGUGUCAACAAGGGCCCAGAGAAAUGUGCCUGGGAUGGAGAAUUGUGAGAGUUCAUGAACAGCACUGCCCAACAAUUUAUUGGAAGAGCAGCUGGAACCACAAAGCAAUUGUAUCUCUGCAAAAUAAAAAAGGAUUUCAUUACAACUUGGGGCUGGUGAUACCUAAGGAUAAGAGGCAGAAACAGAGUAAGGAAGCUGACCUAAAGUUAAAAUGGACAGUGGAAUCAAAACAGCCCUGGAAAAGGAGUCUGAGGAUCCUUCAGUCACUAACAAGUGUGCAUCUUGAACAACUCACUUGAUCUUUCUUCGACUUCAUUUCCUCACAUGCAAAAUGAAGAGGCUUGUCUACAUCUAGUUUUGAAUUUUCUAUGGUGACUACAAGAUUCCCACUUCUGCAUGUUCAGUGUUCUUAAAUACCACCAUUCUCGUCUUUCCUCUGUAGUUGUUCAUCAUUGACAAAAGGAGAUUUGGGGUUUAAUUAGCUACAUCUGCCUAAGGUACCCUUUUUUCAGAAAUUUCCAUCUAUAAGCAUACGAGUAAUACUCAAUGAAAAAAUAAUUUUUCUGGGGGCUGGCCCCGUGGCCGAGUGGUUAAGUUCGCGCGCUCCGCUGCAGGCGGCCCAGUGUUUCGUUGGUUCGAAUCCUGGGCGCGGACAUGGCACUGCUCAUCAAACCACGCUGAGGCAGCGUCCCACAUGCCACAACUAGAAGGACCCACAACGAAGAAUAUACAACUAUGUACUGGGGGGCUUUGGGGAGAAAAAGGAAAAAAUAAAAUCUUUAAAAAAAAAAUUAUUUUUCUGUUUCAGUAAAUUUUAAAAAUGAAGAAUGGGGUAUUUGCAACUCUCAAAAGAAUUUCAAAUACCAGAUGAAGUCCCCAUGACAUGAGGUCUUCAAAGAUGGCCAAAGUUUGGGAAGACUUUGAAAAAGCUGAGGAGAACAAUCAGUGAUUCAAUUAAGACUCCAGAGGAAUUCAUAUCAGAACCAUAUAGGGUUGGGGGAGGCUGCACUCAGGGCUAGCGGAGAGAAGAUGACAAAGAAGGCCUUGCCAGGGAAUUUGGAAAGCCAGACCUGGACUGGCUGGUAACCACAUGGACAUGGUCACCUGCUGAUUCUAUCUGUAAGGCAUGCAUGGC
rnacentral:lncRNA from 1 species